rnacentral:tRNA from 1 species
GGGGGCAUAGCUCAGUGGUAGAGCGCAUGUUUAGCAUCCUGGGUUCAAUCCCCAGUACCUCUA